UUCCUUCCUUGACCAAGAUAUCAUUGA
rnacentral:piRNA from 1 species